rnacentral:rRNA from 1 species
GACAGAGGGUGCAAACGUUGUUCGGAAUUACUGGGCGUAAAGCGCGUGUAGGCGGCAGCGCAAGUCGGAUGUGAAAUCCCAUGGCUCAACCAUGGAAGUGCACCCGAAACUGCGUCGCUAGAGUCCUGGAGAGGAAGGUGGAAUGCUUGGUGUAGAGGUGAAAUUCGUAGAUAUCAAGCGGAACACCGGUGGCGAAGGCGGCCUUCUGGACAGUGACUGACGCUGAGACGCGAAAGCGUGGGGAGCGAACAGG